rnacentral:rRNA from 1 species
CCUACGGUGUGCUGCAGUGGGGAAUAUUGGACAAUGGGCGAAAGCCUGAUCCAGCCAUGCCGCGUGUGUGAAGAAGGCCUUCGGGUUGUAAAGCACUUUCAGUGGGGAAGAAAGCCUUGGGGCUAAUACCCUCGAGGAAGGACAUCACCCACAGAAGAAGCACCGGCUAACUCCGUGCCAGCAGCCGCGGUAAUACGGAGGGUGCGAGCGUUAAUCGGAAUUACUGGGCGUAAAGCGCGCGUAGGCGGUCUGAUAAGCCGGUUGUGAAAGCCCCGGGCUCAACCUGGGAACGGCAUCCGGAACUGUCAGGCUAGAGUGCAGGAGAGGAAGGUAGAAUUCCCGGUGUAGCGGUGAAAUGCGUAGAGAUCGGGAGGAAUACCAGUGGCGAAGGCGGCCUUCUGGACUGACACUGACGCUGAGGUGCGAAAGCGUGGGUAGCAAACAGGAUUAGAUACCCCGUAGUC